GCCCCUGCAGCCUCAGGAGGAUCAGCAGUGGCCUGGUUUACUCGUGUCGUCAUUCGUCGUGGGCACCUUGUCCCCGGGGCCGGCCAGUUACUUGGCCUCCUGGCUCAUCAUCCUGCCGGAAGCAUCUCCAGCUUGGGGAUGUUGGAGGGUCCCUGGCCCCACCUGGCUGGGGAUGGAGUGUCUUCCAAAACCGCGAGAAAUAAAUGUCUGUGUCUAAACCCCAACCCUACCACCUCAACUGCCGUGUGUGGUGUUUUGUGAUGGCAGCCCCAGCUGACUGAGACACCUGGUUAGACCGGAAUAAGCAGGCUGCAAUCGGUAGCAGUCACCAUUGAACAUCCUUGAAGCAAUUCUUCCAAAAUUACCUUGCAUCAAAGACUGCACAAGAACUGCUCUAAGCGGAAGGACUGAUGUCGGCAACCAGGGUUCCACCAGGGGCUGCAGACAGCCCUUGACCUUCAGGGCUAGUGUGAGCAUCCCUGUGCAAUGGCUUAUUGGGAAAUUGAUGUGCAUUGCACCGGAAGCAAUCUCCUCAUCUUCCUGCUUACUCAUCAGACUGAAAAAGGCAACACAGACUACCAUUCAUUGUGUGGCUACAAGGCACUAUGCAUUUUCAUACAAUAUAUCUAAAGCCC
rnacentral:lncRNA from 10 species